rnacentral:rRNA from 1 species
GUGGGGGAUAUUGCACAAUGGGCGCAAGCCUGAUGCAGCAACGCCGCGUGCGGGAAGACGGCCUUCGGGUUGUAAACCGCUGUCCUUGGGGAAGAAACAAAUGACGGUACCCAAGAAGGAAGCCACGGCUAACUACGUGCCAGCAGCCGCGGUAAUACGUAGGUGGCAAGCGUUGUCCGGAUUUACUGGGUGUAAAGGGGGCGCAGGCGGGAAGCUAAGUUGGAUGUGAAAUACCGGGGCUCAACUCCGGAGCUGCAUCCAAAACUGGUUUUCUUGAGUGGAGUAGAGGCAAGCGGAAUUCCGAGUGUAGCGGUGAAAUGCGUAGAUAUUCGGAGGAACACCAGUGGCGAAGGCGGCUUGCUGGGCUCUAACUGACGCUGAGGCCCGAAAGCGUGGGGAGCAAACAGG